rnacentral:tRNA from 2 species
CCGAAAAUGUUGGUUUAAACCCUUCCUAUACUA